rnacentral:tRNA from 1 species
GGCCUGAUGGUCUAGUAGUAUGAUUCCUUGUUAGGGUUAAGCCGUUUCGAGGAGGUCCUGGGUUCAAUUCCCAGUUAGGCCC